rnacentral:rRNA from 1 species
AUUGAACGCUGGCGGCAAGCCUAACACAUGCAAGUCGAGCGCGCGGCGGACGGGUGCGUAAUGUCUGGGAAACUGCCUGAUGUAGGUGGAUAACUACUGGAAAUGGUAGCUAUUCCCGCUUACCAUCCGCUUUUCCCAGACGGGAUUGGCUAGUAGUUGGGGUAACGGCUCACCUAGGCGACGCUCCCUAGCUGGUCUGAGAGGAUGAACAGCCACACGGGAACUGAGACACGGUCCAGAAUCCUACGUGAGGCAGCAGUGGGGAAUAGUGCACAAUGGGCGCAAGUGUGAGACAGACAUGCCGCGUGUGUGAAGAGGGCCUUCGGGUUGGAAAGCACUUUCAGCGGGGAGGCGUUAAACGCAGAAGAAGCACCGGCUAACUCCGUGCCAGCAGCCGCGGUAAUUC